rnacentral:rRNA from 1 species
AGAAUCAACGCUGGCGGCGUGCCUAACACAUGCAAGUCGAACGAGAAAGUGGAGCAAUCCAUUAGUAAAGUGGCGCACGGGUGAGUAACACGUGACUAACCUACCCUUGAGUGGGGGAUAACCUAGGGAAACCUGGGCUAAUACCGCAUAAUACCUUCGGGUCAAAGGAGCAAUUCGCUUAAGGAGGGGGUCGCGGCCGAUUAGUUAGUUGGCGGGGUAAUGGCCCACCAAGACUAUGAUCGGUAUCC